rnacentral:rRNA from 1 species
GAUGAACGCUGGCGGCGUGCCUAAUACAUGCAAGUCGAGCGAACGGACGAGAAGCUUGCUUCUCUGAUGUUAGCGGCGGACGGGUGAGUAACACGUGUAUAACCUACCUAUAAGACUGGGAUAACUUCGGGAAACCGGAUCUAAUACCGUAUAAUAUUUUGAACCGCAUGGUUCAAAGGUGAAAGACGGUCUUGCUGUCACUUAUAGAUGGAUCCGCGCUGCAUUAGCUAGUUGGUAAGGUAACGGCUUACCAAGGCAACGAUGCAUAGCCGACCUGAGAGGGUGAUCGGCCACACUGGAACUGAGACACGGUCCAGACUCCUACGGGAGGCAGCAGUAGGGAAUCUGCCGCAAUGGGCGAAAGCCUGACGGAGCAACGCCGCGUGAGUGAUGAAGGUCUUCGGAUCGUAAAACUCUGUUAUUAGGGAAGAACAUAUGUGUAAGUAACUGUGCACAUCUUGACGGUACCUAAUCAGAAAGCAACGGCUAACUACGUG